AAAACCACUAGAUUAAUAGACCUUCCUGUGGUAAGAGGCAGAGCGCUAUCUCCGAGUCUCAGGCCAUCUGCCAAGGUGAAACGAAGUUCCUUUCUUCCCCACCGGAACAAGCCCUGCCUUCAUCGUCAGCCCCUAUAACAUCACCAGGCUACUUAUCCAUGGUAGGCAUUCAUUGUGUUUCGAGUGAGCAUUCUCAAAGGCAGACUCUGACCACAUCUGUCUUUCCUCGUGGGUAAGAAGUGGGUUCCGGUGGAAGGAAUGUCCUGGGCAGGGUUUUAGUCUUGGUUCUGAAAGCGUGCAUGGUUCAGCUCUCUACAAGGCAGCCCGAACCCGGCCUGCCGUAAGCUGUGGGUGCCAGUACCACGAUCAUUUGGAUGCCAAUGUGCUUAUCUUUUCAGAGCAGGCUUGUAUCUUAAACCCAUUUGCAUGACAGAGGCUUCUUUUCAACCAGGGCUUUCUUUUCUCUGGUGGAGGCCAGCCUGGUCUACAAAGUGAGUUUCAGGACACCCAGGCCUAUACAGAGAAACCCUGUCUCAGAAUAAAUAAAAAAUAAAUAAAUAAAUAAACAAAAAACAAAACAAACAACAACAAAAAUACAAGUCACAGCGGCUGGCACUUCAGUUACUCAGGAUGCUUUAAGUGAUUUAUGUGGACACUCAGUUCAAGCACCCAACUCUAGAUUUGUGCUCCUGAUACCGUGCUCUCGGACAAGCUGUCCAUCAGUGAAUUUCCUCACUCAGGGGUCCCAAGUCCAGCCUGACUUCUGCUUUUUCGUAGCAAGAUGUCUGUUGGGCCCGAUCUCCCCUGCUCCACCUCUUUUCGUUCACUGUGUGCCCUGGAGACACACAGCGACCUGCCGGACUCCAGUCUCCCCAGCCUUCAUGGCUCCUCAAGCCCUUGCCAAGCUGCUCCCUGUUGUGGAUAUCAACAUGUUUUUGUUUUGAUCCCAGGUGUAGAAUAUAGGACUGAUUCAAAUGGUCCACAGCAGCAAAGUAUUGGCCUCAUGCAGUCUCUGAAAGGGGCUCUUCGCAGGCUGAAGAUAGUUUAUAUUCUGAGGUCUCUGAGAGGGAAUAAAGGCCAGAGCCCAGAGAGUGUGGGGGAAGGCUGGUGCUCCCUGCUGCUGUUCCUGCUGGCUGUUGUUGCAGUUUGACAAGAAGCUGGAGAUACCCUGAAACGAAGACUUUCCCCAAGGAACCCAAGGACUCUAACCAGCAGGAGAGUCAAGAAUCCUGCUCUCACCUGCAUCUCUGGAAAAUAUUCCUGGGUGGCGGCACUGGGUAACUGUGUCUCCAGCCAGUGCCUCACUGCCACAGACAGGACAAGCACCCUGAGGAGGGAGAGCUGCUCUCCAUCUGUCAAGGCUUCUGGAGGAAAGGUACUGCUGUUUGGAAUAGGGGUCAGGCGGGAUGGGCUCAUUCUGGAGCAAGGAAAUGGAGCAAGCUGAGCCACUGAGCAGGGACUCUCCAGCCACAACCAGGAGACGGUCACACUAAACCAGGAUUUGGCCAUGGCUGGAGUCUGCUAAUCAACAUCAUGUAGGAUACAGUUCCUAUGGACCAACCUAGGACUGAGCAAUGGAGCCUUUACUGUUUGA